rnacentral:rRNA from 1 species
GCACAGUAAGAGCUUGCUCUUAUGGGUGGCGAGUGGCGGACGGGUGAGGAAUACAUCGGAAUCUACUUUUUCGUGGGGGAUAACGUAGGGAAACUUACGCUAAUACCGCAUACGACCUACGGGUGAAAGCAGGGGACCUUCGGGCCUUGCGCGAUUGAAUGAGCCGAUGUCGGAUUAGCUAGUUGGCGGGGUAAAGGCCCACCAAGGCGACGAUCCGUAGCUGGUCUGAGAGGAUGAUCAGCCACACUGGAACUGAGACACGGUCCAGACUCCUACGGGAGGCAGCAGUGGGGAAUAUUGGACAAUGGGCGCAAGCCUGAUCCAGCCAUACCGCGUGGGUGAAGAAGGCCUUCGGGUUGUAAAGCCCUUUUGUUGGGAAAGAAAUCCAGCCGGCUAAUACCUGGUUGGGAUGACGGUACCCAAAGAAUAAGCACCGGCUAACUUCGUGCCAGCAGCCGCGGUAAUACGAAGGGUGCAAGCGUUACUCGGAAUUACUGGGCGUAAAGCGUGCGUAGGUGGUUGUUUAAGUCUGUUGUGAAAGCCCUGGGCUCAACCUGGGAACUGCAGUGGAAACUGGACAACUAGAGUGUGGUAGAGGGUAGCGGAAUUCCCGGUGUAGCAGUGAAAUGCGUAGAGAUCGGGAGGAACAUCCAUGGCGAAGGCAGCUACCUGGACCAACACUGACACUGAGGCACGAAAGCGUGGGGAGC